GAAACGAUUAUGAGGUCAAAAUCAGUUAAUUAGAAAUUCUAUAUAAAAUAACUGGGCAAUAAAGACGAAUUCCUCGAACUGAGUUUU